UUCUCUUCAUUCUUGAAAUCCCUAGCCAUAUGUCAUUCCCACUGGAUCUUGACACGUGAUUUGGCUCAGAUUCUUUCUGAAUAUCUCUAGCUGUACUUAAAUAAUUCUAAAUACAUCUGAUGGAAGGUUAAAACAAGACUUGUGUUUUUCUUCUUCUUUUUUCUUUUUCCUUUUUAAUUCGACAUUGUGCUCGCCUCUUCUCUCUCUUUUCAUGCCUCUUUCCCCUAAGCUUCCUUGCAUUUUCCUGACCUUCAAUUUUAGCCGUCCAGUAGAUCGCGUAGCCAAAAAGAUAUUAUCUUUUCACUGUUCUUCCCACGUGGGAACUUUUGCUUUUGUCGACAGAAACGUUUGAGGACCUUGACUAUGCGUAUUUCGAAUUUAUUCAUCUGCGCUGCAACCACACAAACCACUGCCCAGAAAAAAUAAUUUAUUAUGAAAUAACUUCUUCUGCUCGAGUCGGAUCGGAAGGCCAACUUGUGCAUAAUUUGUAGUUGGUCUUAUCUGAACCAGUAUCAAUUAAUGGAUGCCAGGAAAGCCCAUAAAGCCUCCUCUUCAUCCUCACCAUCCUCUUCAUCAAAACGUUGGGAGUACCAAGUGUUCUUGAGCUUCAGAGGUGAAGACACACGCAAGGGCUUCACAGGCCACCUCCACGCCGCAUUAUCUGGUGACGGAUUCCGCGCCUUUCUUGAUGACAACGAGCUAAAAAGGGCGGAAUUUAUAAAAACCCAACUGGAGCAGGCAAUCGACGGGUCCAUGAUCUCCAUAAUUGUCUUCUCCAAGAGGUAUGCCGAUUCCAGUUGGUGUCUUGACGAGCUGGUGAAGAUCAUGGAGUGCAGAGAAAGGCAACAGGUUUUUCCAUUGUUCUAUAAUGUUGAUGCUUCAGAUGUCCGGAAACAAACUGGUAGUUUUGCACAAGCAUUUGAGAAACAUGAAGCGGGCAUCUGUGAAGGUAAACAUGAGAAAGAAAAGGUACAGCGGUGGAGAAAUGCUCUCACUCAAGCUGCAGAUUUGUGUGGGGAAGAUCUCAAAAAUGCUGAUGGGCAUGAAGCAAAGUUUAUCAAGAAAAUUCUUGGGAAGGUUAAUAACUUGGUGAACAGCAAAUACCAAUUAGAGACCGAAGACCUUGUUGGAAUUACUUCUCGGGUGAACGAUGUUGUUCGCAUGAUUGGUAUUGAAAAUUCAGGUUCUAAGGAUGUUGUUCGCAUGAUUGGUAUUGAAAAUUCAGGUUCUAAGGAUGUUGUUCGCAUGAUUGGUGUUUUGGGGAUGGGCGGCAUUGGAAAAACAACGCUUGCCAAAACCAUUUAUAACAAAUUUGGACCUAUCUUUGAAGGUAGGAGUUUCCUUGCAGACGUGAGGGAAGUAUUUGCAAACCAACGCAGUAAUGGUCUGGUUGGUUUGCAAGAACAACUUCUAAAUGAUAUCUUGAAAAAGGAGGGCAUAAAGGUUGGAUCUGUUGCUAAAGGGAUCGAUAUGAUAAGAGAAAGACUUUGCUGUAAAAGAGCACUUGUCAUAAUUGACGAUGCAGAUGAUCUACAGCAACUACAAGCAAUAGCUAGAGCUCGUGAUUGGUUUGGUCCUGGAAGUAGAAUUGUUAUAACAACAAGAAAUCAACAUUUGCUAGACCAAGUUGGAGUGGAUAGCACAUAUAUGGCUCAAGCAAUGGACGAGGAAGAAGCUCUAGAGCUCUUUAGUUGGCAUGCCUUUGAAAUUGGUUAUCCUGAUCAAGAAUAUCUUGACCUCUCAAAACGUGUAAUUCGUUACUGUCAAGGCUUGCCACUAGCGCUUCGAGUUGUAGGGUCUUUUCUGAUUAAAAGACCCACAGCGGAGUGGGAAAGCCACUUGGAGAAAUUGGAAAGAAGUCCUGAUGGAGAUAUUCAAAAAAUACUCAGAAUAAGCUUUGACGGGCUACCUGAUGAGGAAAAGAGAGAGAUAUUCCUUGAUAUAUCUUGUUUCUUUAUAGGAAUGGACAAGGACUAUGUAACACAAAUAUUAAAGGGAUGUGGCUUUUCUGCAACCGAUAGGAAUCAGUGUCCUCAUUGAACGGUGCCUUGUAACUGUUAGUGAGGAAAACGAGCUGAUGAUGCAUGAUUUGCUUCGAGACAUGGGAAGAGAAAUCGUUCGUGAAAAGUCCACCGGCCGUCCUGAAAAAUUUAGUAGAUUGUGGAAACGUGAAGACGUAAUAGAUGUACUGAACGUGAUGAAUCUGUAAGGAACUAAAAAAAUUGAAGGAGUUGCUCUACAUGGCUCUUACGGGCCUAGAUUCAGUGGACAAGCAUUUACCAACAUGAAAAAACUGACUAGAUUCAGUGCACAAGCAUUUACCAACUUGAAAAAACUGAGGUUACUCCGCCUCAGCGGAGUAGAGCUCACUGGAGAGUACAAAGAUUUUCCCAAAAAGUUAAUAUGGUUGUGCUGGCAUGGAUUCCCUUUAGAGUCCAUACGAGAUGACUUUCCUGUGCAACCAAAACUAGUUGCUUUAGACCUGCAGUAUAGCCAACUCAAAAUAGUUUGGAAGGAUUGCAAGUUGCAUCAGAAUUUGAAAAUCCUUAAUCUCAGCCAUUCCUAUGAGCUAACAAAAUCACCAGACUUUUCAAAACUCCCAAAUCUCGAGGAAUUGAUAUUGAAACGCUGUGAGAGUUUGUCUGAGGUUCACUCAUCCAUCGGGGAUCUUGGAAGACUUUCUUUGGUAAAUCUUGAAGGCUGCGUAAGCCUAAAGGAUCUUCCACUGAAUUUCUAUAAAUCCAAGUCUAUUGAAACUCUUCUACUUAAUUGGUGUUUAAGUUUUGAAAAGUUGGCUGAGGGCUUAGGGGACAUGGUAUCAUUGACAACUCUGAAAGCGGAUGUGACAGCCAUAAGACAAAUACCAUCUUCCAUAUUAAAAUUGAAGAAACUGAAAGUUUUAUCUUUAUGUGAUCUUUUGCCUCCUUCGUUGCAAAGUUUAAGCUCUUUAAGAGAUUUAGCUCUUGCAGACCGGAGUUUAACUGAUGAUGCAUUCCCCAAGGAUCUCGGUAGCCUAAUUUCCUUAGAAAAUUUAGAUUUGGCAGGAAAUGAUUUUUGCAGCCUACCAAGCUUCAGUCGUCUUUCAAAGCUUCAUGAUUUGUCUUUAAAUGUGUGCGAAAAUCUUCGUGCAAUCCCAGAUUUACCAACAAAUUUGAAAGUCUUAAAAGCAGGAUAUUGCUUAGAAUUGGAAAAAAUGCCAGAUUUUUCAGAAAUGUCAAAUAUAAAAGAAUUGUAUCUAAGUGGUUCGGACAAACUCACUGAGAUUCCAGGCCUGGAUAAGUCAUUAAACUCCAUGACAAUGAUUUAUAUGGAUGGCUGCACUAAUCUCACUGCUGAUUUUAGGAAGAACAUCCUACAGGGAUGGACUUCUUGCGGAUAUGGUGGCAUUUUUCUCAGUGGAAAUGAUAUUCCUGAUUGGUUCGACUAUGUCCAUGACGAUGAUAUUGUGUAUUUCACUGUGCCUCGAAGUGUUGGUCGUAAUUUUAAAGGGUUAACUUUGUCCUUCGUUUCCUCUCCAGUCUUUUUAAGUCGUCGUAGUAGCAUUAGCAUUAAAAACAUGACCAAGGGUGCUGAGCUUGAAGCCAGGAUCAUACCCGAUUGUCCAAUUGACGAGCUCAAUUACAAGCCAGGUUAUUAUCUUUGGCAGGGACAGUUAUCAAAUGACGAGCUCAAAUUGCAAGACGGUGAUAAAGUCUUGAUUGAAAUAAUAGUGGGGGAAUAUGAUGAUGGGGUGAAGGUGAAGAAAACAGGUGUUAGUCUGGUAUGGGACAAAUUUAUGAACGAAAAUAUGAUUGAUUACCAUCUUUGUGCGUAUGAACGACGCCCAUCUCAAAAUCUGGUCAAUGAUGAUGACAUCAUUCAUGUCGAAGAUGAUAAUCACAUAACAAAAUCACCAGACUUUUCAAAAUUCCCAAAUCUCGAGAAGUUGAUAUUGAAAGGUUGUGAACAGUUGUAUAAGAUUCACUCAUCCAUCGGGGAUCUUGGAAGACUUUCUUUGGUAAAUCUUGAAGACUGCAAAAUGCUAAGGGAUCUCCCACUGAAUUUCUAUAAAUCCAAGUCUAUUGAAACUCUUAUACUGAAUGGUUGUUCAAGAUUUGAAGACUUGGCUGAUGGCUUAGGGGACAUGGCCUCAUUGAAAAUUUUGAGAGCAAAUAAGACAGCCAUC